rnacentral:rRNA from 1 species
AGAGUUUGAUCAUGGCUCAGGAUGAACGCUAGCGGCAGGCCUAAUACAUGCAAGUCGAACGGGUUUGAGUAGCAAUAUUCAAAUCAGUGGCGCACGGGUGCGUAACGCGUAUGCAACCUACCUUAAACUGGGGGAUAGCCUUCCGAAAGGGAGAUUAAUACCGCAUAAAAUCACUUGAUGGCAUCUGAAGGUGAUUAAAGAUUUAUUGGUUUAAGAUGGGCAUGCGUGCCAUUAGCUAGUUGGUAGUGUAACGGACUACCAAGGCGACGAUGGCUAGGGGUUCUGAGAGGAUGAUCCCCCACACUGGUACUGAGAUACGGACCAGACUCCUACGGGAGGCAGCAGUAGGGAAUAUUGGGCAAUGGACGGAAGUCUGACCCAGCCAUGCCGCGUGCAGGAUGAAGGCCUUCUGGGUUGUAAACUGCUUUUAUCUAGGAAGAAAACACCCAUGCGUGGGAAACUGACGGUACUAGAUGAAUAAGCACCGGCUAACUCCGUGCCAGCAGCCGCGGUAAUACGGAGGGUGCAAGCGUUGUCCGGAUUUAUUGGGUUUAAAGGGUGCGUAGGCGGCCCGUUAAGUCAGUGGUGAAAGCCUCCAGCUCAACUGGAGAACUGCCAUUGAUACUGGCGGGCUUGAGUACAGACGAGGUUGGCGGAAUUGAUUGUGUAGCGGUGAAAUGCAUAGAUACAAUCAAGAACACCGAUUGCGUAGGCAGCUAACUAGGCUGUAACUGACGCUGAGGCACGAAAGCGUGGGGAGCGAACAGGAUUAGAUACCCUAGUAGUCC